rfam:Capsicum annuum cultivar Zunla-1 chromosome 12, whole genome shotgun sequence
UGAUGAUGGUGAGGGCAAUUUCUGAGCAUACCCUUAAAUCUCUUCCAAUCUUCAUAAAGAUUCUCUUCUUCUUUCUGUCUGGAACUCAAGAUCUCACUCCUCAAGUA